ACGGGUGAGUAAUGUCUGGGAAACUGCCUGAUGGAGGGGGAUAACUACUGGAAACGGUAGCUAAUACCGCAUAACGUCGCAAGACCAAAGAGGGGGACCUUAGGGCCUCUUGCCAUCGGAUGUGCCCAGAUGGGAUUAGCUAGUAGGUGGGGUAACGGCUCACCUAGGCGAUGAUCCCUAGCUGGUCUGAGAGGAUGACCAGCCACACUGGAACUGAGACACGGUCCAG
rnacentral:rRNA from 1 species